rnacentral:rRNA from 1 species
UACGAAGGGGGCUAGCGUUGCUCGGAAUCACUGGGCGUAAAGCGCACGUAGGCGGAUUGUUAAGUCAGGGGUGAAAUCCUGGAGCUCAACUCCAGAACUGCCUUUGAUACUGGCGAUCUCGAGUCCGGGAGAGGUGAGUGGAACUGCGAGUGUAGAGGUGAAAUUCGUAGAUAUUCGCAAGAACACCCGUGGCGAAGGCGGCUCUCUGGGACGGUACUGACGCUGAGACGCGAAAGCGUGGGGAGCGAACAGG